GCCAGCAGGCAGAGUACUGUGACAUUCCCAUAGUAAACAGGCCGACGUCACAUUGUCUAGACUGAAUUCUGUGGAUUGAUAUGAUUACGCCAGCUUUCACAUCGAUCGCUCGGAACUCCCUUGAAAUUAAAAACCCGACCAGGAGCUCCUCUGGUGAUCGAUCAUCUAACACAAGAGCGAGCGGACAGCUGUGGGUGGACGCGUGAGGAUUUAGAGUUCAUGUUGUUGGGGAAGUCCACAAGUGAAAGCGGGAUGGCAGAGGUUGUGAGGGGUUGACUCGACCAGGUGGAGAAACCACAAAUCUCCCACAAACGCCCGCUGAAGGCCUGAAGUGUGUUUGCCGCCGUCUGUACAUCCUCCGAUCUCUCCCUCCUCCUCUUCUCAUCACAUGGAGGAUGUGUGCCCUCAUACUUUGUCUGGAGAUGGAGCGAGGAGGAUGUGGGUACUGGGCACUAUCUGCAGGAGACAGAAUUAGCGCUUAGAAAAGGGACGCUCAGUGCUGCACCUUUUCACCAAGCGGCCGCCUGCUGCUGCAAACGCUCUCUCCUAACUGGGAACAAUUGAAAAAGACACUGGCGCUCAGAAAAGAACGAAGUGAGCCUGAAACGAAUACUCAUGCCUGUACUGUAUAGCCUUGUUCAAUCUUUCAAUAAACUUGAGGA